CUAACCGCGGUGCAAAAGGAGGCUUUCUCAGAUUGUUCUCAGGUCUAGGCGCCCGCACUGCGGCCAGUCGUCCCACAGCGACCUCCCCCAGCGUGUCAGUAGGGGCCCGGACGCCGGACAGGAGAGGAAUUGGUGGGCGGACAUUUUGAACUCCAAAAAAUGAAACUUGAGUUAGCUGCAGAGCUGAAAGUUGUGUCUCAAUAUCAUGAGUUUUAGAAUUAAUAGUUGUGUUUACUUUGCAUGCAUUAACAUAUCUGUUUUUUGUUUAUCCUAGGAUUAGAUGUGAGGGGUAGGGACCCACCACGAGGUAACACGUCUGUCUGUCUGUCUGUCUGUCUGUCUGUCUGUCUGUCUGUCUGUCUGUCUGUCUGUCUGUCUGUCUGUCUGUCUGUCUGUCUGUCUGUGUCUCAGAGGAGAAGCUCUGAACAUCACACCAUGUAAACUUACUCAUAUCUCUACAUAUACCUUCACUCAAACAUUAAUUUAUUCAAAAAUGAAAAUAAUCCCUCACUCAUUCAGUCUCUCGCUCACUCAUUCACUCCCUGUGUGUUUCCCUUUGUCUCCAGGAAGCUCCCCCAGACCCCAGGACGGACCGAGAAGAGAGAACCGGGGAUUAGAAGCAGCGAGGGAGAGCAACAGCAGGCGGCCCAGCCCCCGGUCGAGCCCGACUCUGAGCCGCCGUGAGUCCGAGUCCGAGUGGAACGGCCCCCGUCAGACCCAACCGUCGCCCCCGGCCCAACCGGACCCCCCACGCCCGACCGCCGCCGCCGCCGCCGCCGUCACGCCAGCUCCCGUCCCGGCACCCGUCCGGGCAGCCAGCCCGGCCCAGGCCUUCGCUGGAUGUACGGUGCCGAGUCUUUCACUGCUUGAUGUCGUGUUUUAUUGA
rnacentral:lncRNA from 1 species